AGUUUGAUCCUGGCUCAGAUUGAACGCUGGCGGCGUGCUUAACACAUGCAAGUCGCGCGUGAAAGGACUUCGGUCCGAGUAAAGCGGCGCACGGGUGAGUAACGCGUGGAUGAUCUACCCAUGAGUUAGGAAUAACGGCUGGAAACGGUCGCUAAUACCAAAUACGCUCCGAUUUCAACUUCGGGGGAAAGGUGGCCUCUGCUUGCAAGCUACUGCUCAUGGAUGAGUCCGCGUCCCAUUAGCUAGUUGGUGGGGUAACGGCCCACCAAGGCGACGAUGGGUAGCCGGUCUGAGAGGAUGACCGGCCACACUGGGACUGGAACACGGCCCAGACUCCUACGGGAGGCAGCAGUGGGGAAUAUUGCGCAAUGGGCGAAAGCCUGACGCAGCGACGCCGCGUGAGGGAAUGAAGGUCCUCGGAUCGUAAACCUCUGUCAGGAGGGAAGAACCGCCACGGUGCUAAUCAGCCGUGGUCUGACGGUACCUCCAAAGGAAGCACCGGCUAACUCCGUGCCAGCCGCCGC
rnacentral:rRNA from 1 species